UUCAUUAACAGCACUAUCACUAAUACCCGUACAAAUCUUGUUUAACAGGUAUUUUUUGUGUCAUGCCUCUGUGCCUUCUUCACUUAGCUACUUUCAACAACAGUUCAGUAUUGCACUUGGGGGGCCAUUUUAAACAGCAGCAUCACCAAAAAAGAAAGCACAAAAAUGUGAAAAAUGUAGCACUAAAUAAACUGCAAAAGAUGUUUAUAUUAUGAGAGCUAAAACAAGAAGGCAGAGCGUUGCCAUGGUCAGCCUCAGCUGGAACGCAUGUAUUGGUAAUAGGAACCUCAGUUUUCACCUGGUAAAUGGGAGCCUUGCAACAAAGUAUACAUUUCCCAGACACUUGGAAAGCUGUGAGGUGUGGUCAUGUGACCAACUUCUGGUCCAGGGAAUGUGAGCUGUGGUUAGGAUCCAGCACAAGUCACAGAACCUCUCUCCACUGAACCUACUGCAAACAGAGAUGCAGGAAAUUUUUGGAAGAGCUCAGGCUGCAGACUGUGGGCAGAACCGGAGGUGUUUACUUCAGGGAAAGCUUUUAGGGCUGAGCAAGUCAAGAAGCAUCACAUGCCAGGCACACACGUCUGCAGAGUUCCUACUGCUACCUCCAAGAUGUGUGAUCUCACCAAGAUAUUUUUGUAAUUGGAAACUGCUGUCAUUCAGACUUUGCAAUGACCUCACGGUAUU